GAUGAACGCUAGCUACAGGCUUAACACAUGCAAGUCGAGGGACCGGCGCACGGGUGAGUAACACGUAUCCAACCUGCCCUUUACUCGGGGAUAGCCUUUCGAAAGAAAGAUUAAUACUAGAUAUAAAGGGUGGGGAUGAGUUCCAUUAGGUUGUUGGUGAGGUAACGGCUAGCCAAGCCUUCGAUGGAUAGGGGUUAUGAGAGGAAGGUCCCCCACAUUGGAACUGAGACACAGUCCAAGCUCCUACGGGAGGCAGCAGUGAGGAAUAUUGGGCAAUGGGCGCGAGCCUGAACCAGCCAAGUAGCGUGAAGGAUGAAGACUUAUGGGUCGUAAACUUCUUUUAUAUAAGAAGAUGUAUUAUAUGAAUAAUGAUCGGCUAACUCCGUGCCAGCAGCCGCGGUAAUAC
rnacentral:rRNA from 1 species